CCCUUAACUAUUAAAAGUUUCGUUUUGGUCCCUUAACUUAUUUUUAGGUUUUGUUUUGGUCCCUUAACUCUUCCUUCGUCAACCACUUUGGUCCUUUAUGCUAGGAUGAAUGUAUUAGAGUUAAGGGACCAAAACGAAACCAAAAAAUAAGUUAAGGGACCAAAACGAAACCAAAAAAUAAGUUAAGGGAUCAAAACAAAACUUUUAAUAGUUAAGGGA
rnacentral:pre_miRNA from 1 species